rnacentral:lncRNA from 1 species
AUGAAGGAGUAGGGGGUUUAGGAUCCGGUGGAGGAGGAGAUGAAGGAGUAGGGGGUUUAGGAUCCGGUGGAGGAGACUUUUCAGGACGUUGUGGAUCCCGUGGAGGAGGAGAAGGUUCUGGAUCCCGUGGAGGAGGCGGAGGACGUUCUGAGGCUGGUGGGGAAGGCAAAUGACUUGGAGGAGGUGGAGAUGAAUGUGAUGGUGGGUCUGAUGUAGGUGGCGGAGGUGGAUAUAUUGGUAAGUCUGGUGCAGGUGGUGGUGGAGUGGCUUCCUGUGGCGGAACUGAUGGUCUGGAGGGUGGAGCAGGAGACGGAGGUGGUAAAAUGACAGGCUGAUCAGCUGGUGGAGGGGGAGGGGGAGAGCUCUCAGGCGGAGGUGAUGGAUUUGU